rnacentral:rRNA from 1 species
CGAGCACGCGCGUGUGGCAUAUCAAUAAGCGGAGGAAAAGAAACUAACAAGGAUUCCCCUAGUAACGGCGAGUGAAGCGGGAAGAGCUCAAAUUUGAAAUCUUAAAGGGUUUCCCUUUACGAAUUGUAGUUUAAAGAAGUGUUUUCUGUUGGAGUUUCGGUAAAAGUUCUUUGGAAUAGGACAUCAUAGAGGGUGAGAAUCCCGUAUUUGGUCAUUCCUCCUAGCGUUGUGAUACACUUUCAACGAGUCGGAUUGUUUGGGAAUGCAGUCCAAAAUGGGUGGUAAAUUUCAUCUAAAGCUAAAUAUUGGCGAGAGACCGAUAGCGAACAAGUACCGUGAGGGAAAGAUGAAAAGAACUUUGAAAAGAGAGUUAGACAGUACGUGAAAUUGUCAAAAGGGAAGCGUUUGACACCAGUGUUGUUUAGUUGAAAAUCAAUUAAAUAUUUUUCCGAUUUUAAGUAGUAUUGACCUUAUCAGCUUGCUGCUUUUUUCUCGGAAAUUAUUUAAUGCACUUUUCAGUUAACAAGUCAACAUCAAUUUCUUUUGUUGUAAAAAGGUAAGAGGAAGGUGGCUUGCGCUUCGGCUCAAGUGUUUAUAGCCUUUUACCCCUGCAAUCGGAGAGAUUGAGGUCUACAGCGUAGAUCCUUCGGGGUUAGAUACAUUUGUGCUAAGCUAUAGCCUUGUAUAGACAACUUGUUGACUAUGCUCAGUCAUGUAGCUUACUCGCUUAUGCUAUUUUACCUACGCUUAGGAUGUUGAUGUGAUACUGCGAGCA